rnacentral:rRNA from 1 species
UACGUAGGCAGCAAGCGUUGUUCGGAGUUACUGGGCGUAAAGGGUGUGUAGGCGGUUCUUUAAGUUUGGUGUGAAAUCUCCCCGGCUCAACUGGGAGGGUGCGCCGAAUACUGAGGGACUAGAGUACGGGGAGAGGAAAGUGGAAUUCCUGGUGUAGCGGUGAAAUGCGUAGAUAUCAGGAGGAACACCGGUGGUGUAGACGGCUCACUGGACCGUAACUGACGCUGAGACACGAAAGCGUGGGUAGCAAACAGG